AAAUGGUGAUAAUGAAGAAUUUGAUACCCAUUGGAACAGAUGGAACCUGAUCUUCCCUCUCUCACAUAUAUAAAAAAAACUGUCUGUAUUCCUAUAUGAUCCUUGAAAUCAACUCAGAGGACAUCCACCAUAUAGGAAUCAAGACUCCCAUUGACUUCAUGCCCUUGCUACAGAAAACAAUGACAUUGAUGAGAUUUGGGGGAAAUAUUCAGCAAGUGGUUUUUCGCAUUUUAAUCAUCAGUUUUAAACAAGUUAAAAGACAUAUCCUCUUGAUUUUUUUGAGAAAAGAAAACAACCAAAAAACAAAUUUUCAUAUCUAAGUAUUUCCUUUCACAAAACGGGAAAUCUGAUGGUGUUUCUCUAAAAUUUAUCAGUGGCCAAAUCUAAUCAACAUCUUAAAACACAAAUUUCACUUGAGAUAUUAAAUUAACAUCAGUCACACAAUAAAAAAGUAAACUUCUGAUGUCUGCAUGCUGUCACGGUUAUCAUUAUCACACUUUUAUAAUUGAGAUUAGCAUAAUGUGGGAUUAGUGUAGUUGUACUAAACAGAUCAGUAAUAAUUACAUUCACAAGAGUAGCCCGGCCCUCACUAAAAAUUCAGUCAGUCAAAAUGGGUGAGGAAAAUCAUACUAGUAGAUUUUCGUAAGUUAGCCACCUGAUGUCAUCCUGGUCAUGUACGGUUAAUGGUCCUAUCUGUCUUCAUGUAAAUCCUGAUCACGUUCAAUGACUUACAGUGUUAACAUAUCCGUUUCAAUUAGUGAUGAAACGACUGUCGCCGACAAUCGAUUAUGAAUCGUUUUUGGCUCUUCGAUUUCGAUUAUAUUCUAAUUUUCAUCAUCGAUUGUCGCCUGUACACUAAUUAAUAUCUAAUUCGGAAUUCAUCUGACUGUUACUCCCACUUUUAUAUCGUAACAUGUAUGGGGAAGAGUCAGAGUGGACUCCACAUUGAAAAGUAGGAAUUCAGUGACACCAGCUAGUGUGUAUGCUGCACAAAUCCAUAAAACUAAAUAGAAAUAAUCCCAGUGUUUGAAAUUAACCAUAGACCGAGUCUAUGUCAAAUGACACUGGUCUAUGCCAAUUGUAAUUGAGAUAGACCAAAUUGUCUAUGCCGAUUUUCUAGAUACAGGGAUCUAUCAGUACCUUCUCAGGGGCCGUUAUUCGGCCCCAUGCCCAAUCGAAAAUAGGCUCAAAUUUUCCCAAUUUGCGGGUAAAAAUUCCCAAAAAUAAAAUUUGGAAUCAAUUCUUGUUUUUUAAUCGCAAAUCAGAGGCUCCAAAUCGUGUAUUCUGUUUCCAAGUACAACAUAUCUAAAUUUAGUACUGAAAUUCGGUACGCCUCGGUCAGUUACCUCUUUAUUUGGAUGUCACCGAGGUGUACCGAAUGAAGGUGAAGAAUAGAUGAUGGGAAAGCUUGUAGAAUAAAGUGCACCGCCACGGCACAUGAUACGCCCGUCACAUAUUGUUAACAUGAACAUAUCACCAUGAAGAGAUAGGUAUGCAUGGAACCAAAUGUCAACCUUCCUUUAAGAAUCUUACCCACUUUAUGGCCUCAUGUGACAUUGCUUCAAAUAUUGAUAAUGUAAGCUUAAUGAUUUUUAAAAGGAUAUAAAAACAUUUUCCCAAAUGUUUUCAAUGAAAUGAUUAAAGUGCAAGAUAGCCCUUUAUCCAAGCAAACAACUUACAAUAAAUGGGAGUACUCAAAAAGGUUGAUUUAUUCAACAUAUCAAAAAAUACAUAUAUCAGUAUCUGCCUUUGUCAAAUCUUCAAGUAUAAAAGUAAAAUAUGCAUGGUGAUGUCAAUAUAAAUAAAUAUAGAUUAAAAACGGUUAUUUCAAACACUGGUGCAUCUCCUAUGGUGUAGUUAUUAAUUAGAAAAAAAUAAUACAUCAUAUAUUUCUCAACUGGUUGUGUUAGACUUGAGAAAUGCACAUCUGCAGCUUUGCUCAUUGUAUUUUAAGGAAUGAAGAACAAUGCACAGCGUAAUAAAACAUCAAACAUUAGUCAUUAUGUUUAUUCUUAGACUGUAAAACUGUCAUCUUAGUGAGACAUGACAAUAUGCACCUUGUUGUUGAGAUAUAAAAUAAAAAUAUAUUUUACAAUAUCAUAUUAAUUCUUAAACUUUAUACCAAAUUAACUUUCAAAGUAAUGGCUACCAAUUAGAACUGUUCUAAAAUUUGACAGAUCAAUUAGAAGGCCAGAUUCCUCUGCCCAAUUCCCAAUUGCAAGAGAUAUAGAUAGCACCUCCUUGAUCAGAUUGCUGUAACAGAAAUCUUCUAAACUCAUUAAUUAAUCUGUAAUUUGACAGAAUGCAAUUUUUCUGUUAGCAAAAUGCCUCCUGAAUUGCUUGAUAAUUACACCCAUGGGACAAGGGAAAUUUCUCUUGUUACUGACACAAAAGAAAUAAUUUGUUUGUUAUAUACUGCUGUAUAGUACAGUGUAUAUAAUGAAGAAUGUGUAGUUUCUUGAAUUAACAUUUUUUAAUAUGGUUAUUGCAAUACUAUUUCAUCUGUUCAGAUUUACACAAAUGCCCAAUCUGCAGCUUUGUUCAUUGUAUAUCUUUUUUCUGAACAAUGCCACAGCCAUAACAAAACAUCAAAAUACUAAUCAUUAAAAUAGGCCUUUAUACAUAUUGCAACCAUUUGUUGUCUUAGUGAGAAAUGAUACUCUGCAUAUAGGUUGCUGAGAAAAAAAAUUAAAAAUUAUAUAGUACAAUGUCAAAUUAAUUUUGAAAAUAAAGACUAACCACAACAAACAAAUUCACUUUCAAAUAAUUUCUGGUAUAUCUGCAAUUAAGAGGCUAAGAUCUCUCUGCCCAAUUCCCUAGAGAUAAAGAUAACACCUGCUUGAUCAUGUUGAUCAGAGAUGCUCUACACAAAACUCAUUAAUUAGUCUUGUCAAAAUGCCCUUUGCAUGCUACUCCCAUGGGACAAGUGGAAUUUCUCAUGUUAUUGUUAGAAACAAAGGAAACAUUACAUAGGCUAAAAAAAGCUGUACAGUAUAUCAUAAAAAAAAUAUGUGUUUUCUUGAUGUAACAUUUUUGAAUGAGGUUUUCUACAAAACUCUUAUAUGAGUAGGGAUUGUACCAAUUAUAACAUACUUUUUUCAAAAAAUCACUUCAACUAAAUGUCACAGUGACCUUAAAGUACAGUGCGACACACCUUCUACCUAAGAUGCAUAAGUUGACCAAGUUUCAUGAUUCUAGAUCAAAUAGUUUUCAAGUUAUGAGCCGGACAGGGUUUUACCAUAUUUGGCCAUAUCUUCUUAAUUAAAAGUCACAGCGACCUGGUUUUAAUGUGCGACACACCUUCUACCCAAGAUGUAUCAACUGACAAAGUUUGAUUAUUCUAGGCCUUAUAGUAUUUAAGUUAUGAGCCGGACACGAAAAAGCUAACAGACGGACGGACAGACGGACGGACAUGAAGGCCAUAACAUAAUACGGCCCGUCUUAAGACGGGCGUAUAAAAAAGGGGAACCUGCUCAGAGCAUGUUUUGUGCACCAGCACCAGUAUUUAUAGAUUAGGCCAAGAUAAAUAAAUUGUGUGUUUCCGGUUCCCCGACCGACCCUAAAAUAUUUGAGCCGACCCUUAAAAAUUUAUCCGCCGAUAUAUAUUCCGGAAGUAAACAAUUCCGGUUUCACUAUUAGAAAUCCUAAUCUCGAUCACUUGCUUGUUUGAGAAAAUACAUAUAUAUCCUAUACGCAAAUGGCAGCGUGCUUGCCAAGCACAUUGCUGGCAAAAGGGCUCAUGCUGCCCAUCACAUUUUGCGAUUUAUCGGGGGGGAAAUGCGAUAGAAAUUCGGAAAUGCGACACGGACAUUUCGUAUUUUAGAUAUCUCGGCGCCAUCUUGAAUGUCAGCUGUUGGCAUCUAAACAGCCUCGGGCUGUUUUACCUGUGCAGAAUGUGGAUACCCUGUUACAUGGAAACAAUAAGACUUCGGGGCGUCUUGUUUAUUUAGCAGUUUACACAAGACAAAGGUCUCUAUGUGCAGGUAGGUGUGAAUAAAAUUAACUGUGAAAGUGCGAGUUGCCUACAUAUCGUAAUAUACUGGGGAGAUACCUGAGUCAUGUCAUUACUGGGGAGCUACCUAUUUUGGACUAGGUCAGUUACUAUUAAAUGGAGGAAUGUUGGGAAAUUGCAUCAUUCUUGAGGUCUUUGGAAAAUGGCCAUAAGGAAACACAAAAUUGUAGGUUUUUCUGAAAUUGCUAUGCUAUCAUCUUUUGACUUCACAUCAUCGUAAUCCAUUCAAAAUUUAUUUCAGACUUCCUGAAGCCCCUUCUCCGCAUGAGAUUCACUAAAGGACCACCUUGUCAUUCUGGAUUUCAAGAUGAAAACAGGAUUCUUAAGAGAAUUCUUUGAGUAAUGUGAUGUGUUAAACUAUGUUAUGUUUACAGAAAUUAAUCUUCAGUAACUUUGUCAUCAGUGACUUUUUCUGAGUAUUAUAUGUCAUUUACACUAAUAACAUAAUUAAUAAACAUAUAGAAACUCA